CCAACCCUUAGAGGUAUUGCAGCUUUGGUGGCUGUAUCACAUGUGUUGACAGUAGGUGGCAGUGUGGAAAGAGGCUAUGUCAAAGCUCAGCGUUCUUACCUGUGGACAUCUGUAUAAUUACUAGCAUAACAUU